rnacentral:rRNA from 1 species
UACGUAGGGGGCAAGCGUUGUCCGGAUUUAUUGGGCGUAAAGAGCGUGUAGGCGGUUUGGUAGGUCCGUUGUGAAAACUCGAGGCUCAACCUCGAGACGCCGAUGGAAACCAUCUAACUAGAGUCCGGAAGAGGAGAGUGGAAUUCCUGGUGUAGCGGUGAAAUGCGCAGAUAUCAGGAAGAACACCCGUGGCUAAGGCGGCUCUCUAGUACGGUACUGACGCUGAGACGCGAAAGCGUGGGGAGCGAACAGG